GCCAAGUCGUAAAAAAUCAACUCACACAAUCAACGCCAGGGUAUUACGAGCUUCAGCUUAAAACCCAAAGGACUUGACGGUGUCCCACCCCACUAGAGGAGCCUGUUCUAUAAUCGAUAAUCCACGUUAUACCCAACCAUUUUUUGCCUUUCAGCCUGUAUACCUCCGUCGCAAACUUACCACAUGAGUGAACAACAGUAGGUUUAAUAGCUCAAACACUACAACGUCAGGUCAAGGUGCAGCUCACAAAAUGGAUAGCAAUGGGCUACAAUUUCUAAGCUAGAACAAACGAAUUACUGCAUGAAAUAUAGUCAUGAAGGCGGAUUUAGUAGUAAGUAGGGAACAGAGAGCCCUACUGAAUCCGGCUCUGGGACGUGUACAAACCGCCCGUCACCCUCUUCAACAACCCAACAUAGUUUCAUAACUCAAUUAAAAAACUUAGAAGAGGUAAGUCGUAACAUGGUAAGUGUACUGGAAAGUGCCCUUGGCAAACAAAAUGUAGCUUAAUCAAAGCCUCCCGCUUACACCGAGAAGAUAUCCAUGCAACCAGAUCAUUUUGAGCCCACAACAAGCCUACAAUAUUACAUAUGCAUUACUACCUAGUUUACUUACAAAAUAAAACAUUCUGAUUCUAUAGUAAAGGCGAUCAAAAUAAUACUUAGCGCUUAAAAGUACCGCAAGGGAAAAGUGAAAUACUAUGAAAACUCAAGCCAACAACAGCAGAGAUCCCAACUCG
rnacentral:rRNA from 1 species